rnacentral:lncRNA from 1 species
CGUUCUUUCCGUUCUUUCCGUUCUUUCCAUUCUUUCCAUUCUUUCCGUUAUUUCCGUUGUUGUUCUUGACCUGUCACCCAAUUUUCUGCCGUAUGUUUCUGUCUCUGUGGAGGUUAUUUCAGUUAUUUCAGUUAUUUCUGUUAUUUCCGUUGAUGUUCUUGACCUGUCACCUAAUUUUCUGCCGUAAGUUUCUGUCUCUGUGUAGGUUAUUUCCGUUAUUUCCGUUAUUUCCGUUAUUUCCGUUAAUGUUCUUGACCUGUCACCUAAUUUUCUGCCGUAUGUUUCUGUCUCUGUGGAGGUUACUUCCGAUAUUUCCGUUAUUUCCCUUAUUUCCGUUAUUUCCCUUAUUUCCGUUAUUUCCGUUAUUUCCGUUAUUUCUGUUAUUUCCAUUGUUGUUCUUGACCUGUCACUUAAUAUUCUGCCGUAUGUUUCUGUGUCU